UACGGAAGGCAGCAGUGGGGAAUAUUGCACAAUGGGCGCAAGCCUGAUGCAGCCAUGCCGCGUGUAUGAAGAAGGCCUUCGGGUUGUAAAGUACUUUCAGUCGUGAGGAAGGUGUUAAGGUUAAUAACCUUAGCAAUUGACGUUAGCGACAGAAGAAGCACCGGCUAACUCCGUGCCAGCAGCCGCGGUAAUACGGAGGGUGCGAGCGUUAAUCGGAAUUACUGGGCGUAAAGGGCACGCAGGCGGUUAAUUAAGUUGGAUGUGAAAUCCCCGGGCUUAACCUGGGAAUGGCAUUCAAGACUGGUUAGCUAGAGUCUUGUAGAGGGGGUAGAAUUCCAUGUGUAGCGGUGAAAUGCGUAGAGAUGUGGAGGAAUACCGGUGGCGAAGGCGGCCCCUGGACAAAGGCUGACGCUCAGUGUGACGAAGC
rnacentral:rRNA from 1 species